rnacentral:rRNA from 2 species
ACGGGAGGCAGCAGUGGGGGAUAUUGCACAAUGGGGGAAACCCUGAUGCAGCGACGUCGCGUGAGGGAAGACGGUUUUCGGAUUGUAAACCUCUGGCUUUGGGGACGAAACAAAUGACGGUACCCAAGGAGGAAGCCACGGCUAACUACGUGCCAGCAGCCGCGGUAAUACGUAGGUGGCAAGCGUUGUCCGGAAUGACUGGGUGUAAAGGGAGCGUAGGCGGGUAAUCAAGUCAAGUGUCAAAUCUAUCGGCUUAACCGGUAGUCGCGCUUGAAACUGAUUAUCUUGAGUGAAGUAGAGGCAGGCGGAAUUCCUAGUGUAGCGGUGAAAUGCGUAGAUAUUAGGAGGAACACCAGUGGCGAAGGCGGCCUGCUGGGCUUUAACUGACGCUGAGGCUCGAAAGCAUGGGUAGCAAACAGGAUUAGAUACCCUGGUA